CAUCCGGUGGGCAAAAAGCCCAGACUGCUGGACACUGUGACCCGAGCAAGUACUACAUCCUAGUAGGGACAGUAGCAGCCUCAGCUUUGCUUCUGCUUGGGGCAGUGUCUGGCUAUCUAGUCAUGCAUCAGCUGCUGAAGAGAGACAGGAGGAGCCAGGAGGACAAAGAGGCAACAGGACAGGACUGGGACUCUUCCUGGGAAAGCUGUGGUCAGCCUAGAGGUGAAGCAGAGUCAGGAGAAGGAGCGGGAAGCAGCGAGAGAGCCCAAGGCAACGGGUUCAGGGACAGCUGCCGCCUGUUUCCUGAGCUCUUUGCAGCAGAGCUCGCCCAGCUGCACAAGAACAUGAGCGCAGACCCGUCACCUCUGCCCACCUGCUCCUUCUGUGCUCUGGCUGACAACACCUCUUCACGGGACCACUGGAUUUCCCUGGAGUCACCUCAGCCCACAGCAUCCUCUUGGCCCUCCUACCAAUACCUGCAGGACUACUAUCUGUUAGAGGAUGAAGAUUAGUGAUAGUGAUAGAUGGUUAGUGAUAGUGAUAGCCAUAAAUAGUGAUAGCGGUAGUGAUUCUUUUAGUGAUAGUGAUAGGGACACUUGAUAUUAGAGGGUGGUGGUUGUUUUAAUGAUAGUGAUAGUUAAUAUUAGAGGAUAGUGAUGGUUUUAAUGAUAGCGUUAGUUAAUAUUAGGGGAUAGUGAUUGUUUCAAUGAUAGCGUUACUUGAUAUUAGAGGAGGGUGAUUGUAUUAGUGAUAGUGAUAGUCAUAAAUAGUGAUAGUGGUAGUGAUUCUUUUAGUGAUAGUGAUAGGGAUACUUGAUAUUAGAGGGUGGUGGUUGUUUUAAUGAUAGUGAUAGUUAAUAUUAGAGGAUAGUGAUUGUUUUAAUGAUAGCGUUAUUUGAUAUUAGAGGACAAUGAUUGUAUUAGCGAUAGUGAUAGUUAAUAUUGGAGGAUGGUGAUUGUUUUUGUGAUAGUGGUACAUUUAGUGAUAGUGAUACUUGGUAUUAGCAGACAAUUAUUGUUUUCUUGAUCUUGAUAAAUAAAUAUUUUUCCAAAAGCA